UACGGAGGGAGCUAGCGUUGUUCGGAAUUACUGGGCGUAAAGCGCACGUAGGCGGCUUUGUAAGUUAGCGGUGAAAGCCUGGGGCUCAACUCCAGAAUUGCCUUUAAGACUGCAUCGCUUGAAUCAUGGAGAGGCGGGUGGAAUUCCGAGUGUAGAGGUGAAAUUCGUAGAUAUUCGGAAGAACACCAGUGGCGAAGGCGGCCCGCUGGACAUGUAUUGACGCUGAGGUGCGAAAGCGUGGGGAGCAAACAGG
rnacentral:rRNA from 1 species